rnacentral:rRNA from 1 species
CCUACGGGCGGCUGCAGUGGGGAAUAUUGGACAAUGGGCGCAAGCCUGAUCCAGCAAUACCGCGUGUGUGAAGAAGGCCUUAGGGUUGUAAAGCCCUUUCAAUGGGGAGGAAAACCUACCGGUCAAUACCCGGUAGCUUGACAUUACCUGUAGAAGAAGCACCGGCUAACUCCGUGCCAGCAGCCGCGGUAAUACGGAGGGUGCAAGCGUUAAUCGGAAUUACUGGGAGUAAAGCGUGCGUAGGCGGUUCGAAAGCCCAGGGCUUAACCUGGGAACUGCAUUUGAAACGGUCGGACUAGAGUUGAGUAGAGGGGAGUGGAAUUUCAGGUGGAGCGGUGAAAUGCGUAGAUAUCUGAAGGAACACCAGUGGCGAAGGCGACUCCCUGGACUCAAACUGACGCUGAGGUACGAAAGCGUGGGUAGCAAACAGGAUUAGAUACCCCGGUAGUC